rnacentral:rRNA from 1 species
AUUGAACGCUGGCGGCAUGCCUUACACAUGCAAGUCGAACGGUAACGCGGGGCAACCUGGCGACGAGUGGCGAACGGGUGAGUAAUGUAUCGGAACGUGCCCAGUUGUGGGGGAUAACUGCUCGAAAGAGCAGCUAAUACCGCAUACGACCUGAGGGUGAAAGCGGGGGAUCGCAAGACCUCGCGCAAUUGGAGCGGCCGAUAUCAGAUUAGGUAGUUGGGGGGGUAAAGGCCUACCAAGCCUACGAUCUGUAGCUGGUCUGAGAGGACGACCAGCCACACUGGGACUGAGACACGGCCCAGACUCCCACGGGAGGCAGCAGUGGGGAAUUUUGGACAAUGGGGGCAACCCUGAUCCAGCCAUGCCGCGUGCGGGAAGAAGGCCUUCGGGUUGUAAACCGCUUUUGUCAGGGAAGAAAUCCUUUGAACUAAUACUUCGGAGGGAUGACGGUACCUGAAGAAUAAGCACCGGCUAACUACGUGCCAGCAGCCGCGGUAAGAC